CCCGCCACGCGGGUGCGGCGUUCCUCGGAGGAUGUGAAGGUCCGCGCUCGGGUGCCCCCGCUGGGACGCCCACUGUCGUUUGGUGCUGGGGCUUGAGACGACCGCGCGGGAUCUCUUCCUGUGAUUUUGAGCUGAUAGCUGCUUAGUGUUAUUUCUGCGUCUAACUGGAUACGGUAGUCUUCUCUCCCAAAUUCCCGGGCUACGGAAGAGACGUAAAAAAAUGGAAAAAAGAGCACCUAGCCGCGACUUCUUAAGUCGUCGCGCUAGACUGUCAAGGCACGUGGCACACUCCCUGCGUUUACCGAUACACGGAUAGUGGUCAGUGCUGGCCUUGGCGAAGGGAGCCAUGUUCCCGACAGUGACUCACAGGCUUGCCCAAAUACGGAGUGUGGCAGGUGGGCAGGACCUCCACCAGCCAGCUCCCUCCUGGUCUCCUUGAACUACGUGGGGGCUGGGCCGAGUGCCUCCACGACUUUCCACUUCUUUUUGCUCCUUUCGUUUUUAAAAAGCAAAAACCAAAGUAAAGAGAAGAGCAGAGUGAACACCCAGGUACCAUCCCUAGUGUCUGCCAUGAGCAGCAGAUCUAUCUACUCGCCAAGAUUGUCUUUUCUACCUUUCCCCUUCUUGCACAGUUAAUAUCAUAAUAACGCAAGUCAUAUUUAAAAAAUUUUUAUCACCUAUCAGUUGAGUUUUUGGAAAGCCUUCCAGGGCAGCGUUGUGGUUUUGAACGCACUCUUGUUCGUGAUUUAUCUGGUAGUACAGCUCUGCUGACAAGGCUCUGAAAACUCAGACGUACAAUAUGGGCUUAGCGUGUUCCCCGACACCAUCUUCCCGGUGCUGACUAAUGCAAGAACCACAUCCCCUCCACUACACAUUUUCCAAACUUGACUACCUUCAUGAGAACAAAUCCUGAUUUUAGUUUAUAAUUUCCACUUUUCUCAUACAUAUAUAAUAAUUCAAGAUGUGGUCUUACUAUGUUGUCCAGGUUGGCCUGGAACUCCUGGGCUCAAAGGAUCCUCCGGCCACAGCCUCCCUGGUAGUGGAAUUACAGGCGCAUGCCACUGUGCCUGGCCACUUUUCUCAAAUUUACUGAUAGUUUCCUUUUUGCCCAAACCUUACAAUGCUUAUUUGUAGCUUUGAGAACCUCUCUUAGAUGAAAUCAAAAUCAUAUCCAUAUUAGUUGCCUUUUUGGGGUCAGAAAUGCAGCUAUUGUCUAGAAAUCCAGGGCUGUCCUGCAUAAUCUACCCUCCCCUUCACGUGUUCUGACCUUGUUCUGCAUUUUGAAUAAUUUCAUGGAAUUUCAAAGCCGUUGUAGUAAAUGUCUUUCUUUAAAGACAACUCGACCUUCAAGACAGGUAAAGAACGUGCCUGGAGCCACCCCAGGCAGUGAUGCUGGAGGAGUUCUCUCAACCUGGAAACUUAUUCUUUAUGCUGAAUUUUGAAAUCGAAUGCUCCUAUAUUUACUUGGAGUAUUUUAGAUUGUGUAUGUAUUAUAUCUGUGCAUCAUUCAUUGUUACCAUCUAACUUGGAAAUCAGAGGAAGUGUGAAAGGUAUCUGAGAUACCAGCUUAGAAAACAACUCUUUAGCUCCUCCUGGUGAUUAGGACACCACUAAACAACAGGAUGAAGGAUCUGUCCCCAGGGCCGAAGUGAUGAUGUAUCUAAUAUUAUAUCCUAGAACAUUCACAGAGUAGCUGCAGAAUGUCUUGAGCUGGAACAUCCCCAAGAGGCCAUAUAUAUAUCCCAGGGAUUUUACAGUGGACCUCACUAGGCCGGAGUAACUGUAAAGUCAGAUGGAUAAUGAGAAUUCAGGACGUUAGCCACACGUGGACUGUGGCAAAAAGAAAGUGACCCACUGAAGAAGACUGUUUUUCAGCUCUCUCAUCAAUUGCUGUUUCCAGGAGCCCACAGCUCCAAUUACUCAAAAGAACGUUGACUUUUUUUUUUUUGGUAAAAUAUCCUGAUUUUCAGGUUAGGCAAGCAAUUCAUUAAAAAAUAAAAGACU
rnacentral:lncRNA from 1 species